rnacentral:rRNA from 1 species
UACGUAGGGACCAAGCGUUGUUCGGAUUUACUGGGCGUAAAGGGCGCGUAGGCGGCAAUUCAAGUCAUCUGUGAAAUCUUCGGGCUUAACUCGAAACGGUCAGAUGAUACUGUCUUGCUAGAGUGCAGAAGGGGCAAUCGGAAUUCUUGGUGUAGCGGUGAAAUGCGUAGAUAUGACAUAGAACACCUAUUGCGAAGGCAGCUUACUACGCAGAGAUUGACGCUCAUGCACGAAAGCGUGGGGAUCAAACAGG